CUUGAAUGAGAAGUGCCUGGAGAAGGAAAGGCACCAGCAUGCCUGGUGGGGGUUGCUUCUCUGUGCAUCUUCAUGUAAAACAUCAGGGGCUUCCAGUUUUCUGACCCUUUAAGGAGUUUUUUGACCCUUACUCUCACAAGGACAAAAUUGGAGACACUGGUUAUUUUCCCCAAGGCUUUGAAUGAAUGACAUGCUUUCGGAUACAAACAGACUCCUUUAAGAAAUCAAUGUUAACUUAGAGAGCCAAUAAAAUCCCCUUGGGAAAAGUGGACCCACAUCUUGUCUACACAAUCCCUGUGCAGGCUUUCUCACCUGUGGAACGCCUGACUGGUAUGAGAAAAAUGCCUCAACUAAGCCUGUGUACAACUUCAGCAAACACACUGUGCUUGCAGCCCCUCCCAAGUGCUGGCAGGCCACUGAGCAUGCAGACAGCCUACCCCAAAAGAAGUAACGGGGAGAAGUAACACAACCCCAGAAGCAUCUCAAUACAUAAAACUUCAAGUUAAAGAUCAAACAGCACACUUGAAUCUCUCAAGUCACCUGCUUGGCUCUCUUCUAAGUGUACCUUACUUUCUUUUGUUCCUGCUCUAAAACUUUUUAAUAAACUUUCCUGCUCUAAA
rnacentral:lncRNA from 10 species